CUCCAGUGUGCUGUUUAUGUGGACUCACAAGCUAAAUAACAAAUUGUUAAGAGUUUAGGGGAGGAAGAGAUGGAAGUAGUGUCAUAAAAAGUGGCUGGACUUAUUAGAAAAGCUAUAGCUUAAUGCCACUGUCAUUAUACAUUAACCAUGUGACCAUGAACAAUGGUCCUCAGCUUCUGCCUCUUGUAGUGUGGAGUAGACCCUCUAUGCCUGGCACAGUGCCUGGCAUAUUGUAGCUCCUCAAAGCAUGUUACUGAUUGGAAUCUCAGAGCCUUCUAGUCCUAGGGGUCAAUGAUUUUAUAUGUCAAAGUGUUUACUUUAGCCAUGAAGAUUGCAACAUGUCUAAAACUGACCAUACAGUUUGCUAAAUUUUUAAUUUAAAUUUCUAACGAUGAGGGUAACUAACACCUAAUGAUCACAUACAAUAUGCAAUGCAUUUUAAAUAUGCUGUCUUAUUUAACUAAAAGCCGUAAGGGAAAACUGGUAUUAUUCAUAUUGCAAGAUAAAAGAGCAAGGUUCAGGGAUCUGAAUUGAUUUUUUAAAGAUCCAAGGCCUUGAGGCAGUAGGAUUGGACUGCUUUCUUUAACUUGCAGAAAGUUUGUUGAAAUGAAAAUAAAUAAUAUAUGUGGAAGGGAUUUCGAAAGUAAAAGUGCAAUACAAGCACAGGGUAACAUCAUCAUCUUUAUUCUUAUUGUAUGUAGGUAUGUAAAUUAAGAAAGGAGAAGUUCAUGAGUGGUGACCUGAGAGCUUCUACAAUAAAAUAAAGGGCAAAGGACUCUCUGACAUCUGUCAGGGCUUCUCCGACUCCUUUUUUGGGGGGAGAUCUAUGGAAGCUGAGAGACCCCUAAGUGUCCCUUUUGAGUUUAUGAAAGACCAUACACAAAUGGGCAAAUGACAGAUCAUGCUUCAUCCUCUGCCAACAGCCUCUUACAGAUAUUGUGACACUGUGCUCAAAUAAUCAACUAAUCAAAUUCAUUGGAACUGAGUUCAUUUGAAGUUUGCAAUAAAAUCACCUCUGGCAAAAAUUAAUUUUGCAAAACCAGUCCACUUUGCAAUUACCUAAAAGUAGGUCCUAAUUUAGCCACUUUUUGUCCACCUUGAGAGAUCUCCCUAACAUUUUCAUCUUUCUCUCCUCCACCAGCUGACCUGGGUUCUUCAUGCAAAUCUGUGCACUUUAGCUAGUGCUAGUGACCUGUAGCGACCCAUUAGUGAGCGAUCUCUUUGGCAUGUCAAGGCUGGAGAUAGCUUUCACUAAAUUACUUUUUAAAGACAUGUUACCCUUUCCUAGACCCGCACCAUCCAAUAUGGUAGCCACAAGCUCUUGAAAUGUGGCUAAUCCAAAUUGAAAUGUUCUCUAAGUAUAAAGUGCACAUCAAACUUCAAAGACUCAGUAAGAAAAAAGAAUGCUAAAUAACUCACUGUUAUAUUUUUUGUAAUAUUGAUCAUGUGUUGUAAUGGUAAUAUUUUGGAUAUAUUGUGUUAAAUAAAAUAUAUCAUUAAAGUUAAUUUCAUUCAUUUCUUUUUAAUUUUUAAUGUGGCUACUAGGAAAUUUAAAAUUGCUUAUGUGGUUCACAUGACCUUUCUAUUAGACAGGGCUGCUCUAGAAUAAUGGGUACCUACUUGCCUUAUUUCUGCUUAUUACUAUUAAAGGACAAAUGUACGCUUCGCUUUGUAAGGACGAAAACCCAAAGUCAAACAAAACAAAACUUCCACUUUCUUGGUGUACAUAAAACAGCUCUUCCGUGGAAAAAGCAAGCAAAUAGUCCAGUGGUUUUGAAAAUUGAAACCUUGCACAAGACAUUUUGCAGUAUAAAGAGCAUUUACUCAUCAUGAACUUGCAAUCAGUCUGACCUUCCUCUUAAUUGUGUUCAUGCGGCUCUUUAAAUGUAUCUA
rnacentral:lncRNA from 1 species